CUGGUGUUAGGCUGGUUUAGUUGGUUUACCAGGCUGGACAAGCUGGCCAGGCUGUUCUUGCUGGUUCAAGACCAGCCUGGUCAGCUAAACCAGCAUAGCCCAGCAUGGAUGUCAUGCUGGUCUAUGCUGGUUUUAGCUGGUUUUAGCUGGUCUAUGCUGGUGAAGCUGGUGAAGCUGGUCUAUCAGCAGUCUUGCUAGCGAAACUGAAAUAGACACAGACAGACAGAGAGGGCGGGACACGGGGGAACGGCGACACGGCAGUGGUUGAAACAAAGCGGUAUGUUUUGACUGGCACUAACGGUCGAGGAGUGAAGAUCAGUUGAACGUUUCUGUGACUCCGCCCAGCGGCUGCUCUUCUGAGAGGCACCGCUCUGACAGCUCUGUCUACUGGGAAACGCGCUAAAAGUCCUUCUGGAGGCUUUGCAUUUGAACCCCUAUGACUGGUUGCGGACUUGAAGGGAACGCCUUCCUGACAUCCAGGAAAAAGUUUUAUUGGAUAGUAGAGAUCUACUGGAAACAGUGGAGAGGGAGGAGAUGAUAUGCAGCAAAAGGCCGAGCCGGAUGGUUGCUGCUCCGUGUGGAACGUGUUCUAUCAGGUGUAACAUCUACCAAUGGUUGUACAUGACACCACCUCUUUGCUGUCCUACUAGUCAACCCUCCUGAUCAGAGCCUUUCCUAAAUAGUGAAAGGUUAAAAAAGUUCCCUGUACAUGGAACCAUGCCUGUCCUCUGUUCCACAUCUCUUCAGUCAGUUCUGGACCCUAUGACUCUGUUCCACAUGUCUUCAGUCAGUUCUGGACCCUAUGACUCUGUUCCACAUGUCUUCAGUCAGUUCUGGACCCUAUGACUCUGUUCCACAUGUCUUCAGUCAGUUCUGGACCCUAUGACUCUGUUCCACAUGUCUUCAGUCCGUUCUGG